AACUGCGGCGGACGUGAAAUUUAAUGGAGCAAAAAAUAAAAAUCCGAAGCAAUUUUUUUUAUCGCGGCGAUAAUUUACCAACGUUGUUUAAUUUACGCGCAAAUGAAAUGCAGUGUCGCGGUAAUGGGAUGAUGAUGAUGAAUUGGUUGGAAAUGUUCAUACACGAGUUGCAUCGCUAGAAUGUUAAAAUGUCCCAAAGUUCAGCAUCAGCCGUGGUCUAUCCACUGCUGGAUGAAGAACGACAGUCCCAAGCCUCGUCGUCAUCUCUCACGACGAAAACUCCGAGCGAGGCCUAUGCCCCGAGGCCGGCCCGCCCUUGCCUGAUCUUCCUGCCGGGUUUGAGUCACGUCUGCCGGCAGAGUUCGUCAGCUCCGCGGGGGAGAAAAUGCAGUCCACUACUUGGUUGGACUGCCCUACAGCAGCGCUUUCGCCAGCUGGAAGACGUUGAACCUUCAUGAACCAAGUUGUGGAGAAUUAUGGCAAGAGACAGCACAGGGGUCUGCUACCCCAAGCAAGCCAUGAGUAUAGUUUAUAAUAGCACACAUUUGUCUGCCGAGGUUGGCAGUGGCAGAACUUCGUUGCUUGGUGGCCAUUUUACCAAACAACCGCAGAGUUGGGAGGUAAAAUGGCUGCCACGGCCGCGGGGAUUCUGUUGGUGGGGCGCAGCCCUGUUUUUUUAUUUUUUUUAUUUUCAGAUGUCUCUUGUUCACACAUCUUUAAAUACAAGUUCAUGGAACAUGCUGGUGCAUCCCUGCCUAUGUGGCGCAGAGGUAAAUCUGGAAGCCAGCCAUGUUUUUUUUAAUCUCACAAGUGCAAGAGGUCCACGGUUCAAAUCCAACACAGGCCAACAAAUAUAUAUUUCAAAAUCAGUUUUUUAUUGAAAUCAUGUUAAAAGAUAACAAUAUUGAACAGUGAUUACUUUCAAAAUAUGUAGCUAAAAUGUACCUUUGACAUGAAACAUCAAAACAAACAUUGGCUUGUAUUCAGCAGUAUCGUUAGGAUUAUUCAAAUACAAUACAAACUGCACGUAAGGUAAACGAAAAUCACAAGCAUAAAAAAACAUUUUUUAAUCAUGGCACAGGAAAUGUAAUAUGUUUCCAAAAUUGAUUUAGGCCAUUUGAACUUCACUAGAUGCGUAUUUUAUUUUAAAGUUGGCCUGAUUAAAGCCAGGCAUCCAAGCGGCUUGUGUUCUCCACGUCGCAACUUCAAGGGAAGAAGCUCAUUAUGCCCCCCCCCCCCAUCCCAUGAUGGUCAUCUUCCAGGACAUCAGCGGAACUCGGUGCGAGGAGGCAUCAAGAGAAGGGUCCAGCUCAAGCACGACUGGACAGAAAUAACAGCACAGAGCAUCGGCCGCGUUAUUGCCACUUCGACAGUCGCUCUGCCUUACAUUCUCACUUUCAUUGCAGCUCCAUUCACAUCACUCUCUGGUAUUAAAUGCUAAAGAAUAAUUCUCCAACAUGAGCGAAUGGUUCACAAAUAAAAAAAGAUGAGGCACAGUAAAGUAGGGCAGACUGGGACGAUAUUGGAAACACGCACAACCCGGUUGUACUCGCGCAAAGACUUCACUGCCACUCAUAUCACCAUUAUUCAUUCAUUCCUUAGCGCCCUGUGUUUGUGCAAAAGAACAAUUACACCCCCCUCCCCGAGUUCAAUACUGGCCCUGUUUCUGCCGUUUUGUUACAGAGCUCUUUACCAGACAACAAAAUGUCAACAUAUGCGAAAUAAUUUAUUUUGCUUGAAGGUUAUGGAUGAAGUGCUGGGGGUAGCUGGGGAAAGCAGCAGCAGCAGCAUACAUCUCCAUGGACCCUAGGGUCACAAAGGGUCACCUCUAUAGGGACGGCUAAAGGUCUCCACAGACCCACUCCCACCUCGCCCUCCAUCCCAUAAUGCUAAAUAAUACGAACGAAAGCCCAUGCAUUAUACAGCAUUAUAAAUCCUCUCUGUUUGCAGAGCACCUGACUGUGUGUAAUUGUACGGCGUGACCUUGCUGCCUGAUUUUUUUUUCCUCUCUCUGUGUGCCUUUGUUGAUUCAGAUUUACAGUGCAGCGCCUCUUAUAGAUCAAUAGUUCUUCUGCCUUGAAAUGUACACGUACUCCCUCCCAGUGUAAGGGUAAUCAUUAAUCUGCCAUGUUAAAUUACAGAGAGUGGACGAGCGUCCUUAUAUUGAACGAUGGCUGUAAGGAAACGGCGAGCGAUAAAUAGCAUCAAACAGCUUUCAUGCAAUCCGUGUAUUUUUUCAUAUGCCUUUCGGGCCGCAGCAGCAUAACGAAAUAGUUCAGCAAUUGUAGCCAUUCCAAUACGAAAGGAAUUUAAAAAUUAUACGCUGUAAAAACUUACGUGAAAUAUAUUUGUUGAGACGUAGUCUUUGCACACACACACAGUCUUGGUAUGGUAAGGUCGGAUGAGAGAAACAUUUGGGAGGUAUGCAUACAGACAAUGCAGUGCACGGUGUAGAAUGUUUACAGCCCUGAGUGGAAUUGCAAUAUAGGAAUUAUUCCAAUAUUGAACAUUGGUGACACUGCGUUGGCAGUGGUGCACAAGCACAACAAAAAUCACAUUCGUCAAACGCUGUGGCCUUACAAAAUUAAAAGUGUAGAAUAUGUGACGUUUCAGGCAUUGGCCCUUCACAGCACAGGCCAGGGAGGUGUGCUGUGAAGAAUGGCCAUUGCCCGGAAGGUCGCGUAUAUGUCUUCUAUUUAAAGCCACAGUGUUAUAGACAAAAGCGUUGAGAGUUUGUGUUGCAGUAUUGAAAUUUCGUCGCGAGUUUGACUCUAGAGCCUUGUUAAACAGUUGCGACAGCGUGAUAAUCGGAGGCGCGGGAAAACCAAAUUAAGUACAACUUUAAAGAGUGUCUUCUGCAAUCAUUGGAUGAAGGCAUCCUAAAGCUGCCACCAUCUUUCGCAACCCUGUGAUAUAUUUCCAUCUUGCAAAUGACUUUAAAAAAAUGGGUAGGGAACAUUGUAUUGCUAAUAAUAAUGUAGAGCCGUUUCUCAGUUUACUGUUGCAUGAUGGGUAUAUGAUAAACUUUGGUAGCAAGUCACGUGUUUACAUGUUUUAAUAUAAUUACAAUAAAGGAGAAUGUGACAACUUGCAGGUGCAAAUUUUGAUGUCUAUAUGCGAUAUUAAGUACUGUAGUACUCUUUAACGUUGAGCAGUUGGUACGUAAAUAUUUAUUUAUAUUUUGUUGAAAUGAAAAACGAGACUCCGCUUGUUUUAGUCACGAAAAUAUGUGCAUUUGUUUAGAUAUUAACUUUUAUAACGGAUGCAUCUUCAAUAUGAAAGAAAUAAAAUGAAAAAAUAAAGAUUAGAUUUUUGGCCAAAAUUGUUCGUACUUUUUUUUCUGUUUCAUUGUUGAUAAAACAAAAUUAUGCUACAUCUCUGGAACACAAAAUAAAAUAUGGAAAAUAUUAUAUUUUGAAAGCUGAGAAUGUAAAACGGCUCGUGUUGUGUUGGCAAAACAUAAUUCCUCAUUUCGUUUUUAUCAAUUUGAA